GUAGGUGGCAAGCGUUGUCCGGAAUUAUUGGGCGUAAAGCGCGCGCAGGCGGUUCUUUAAGUCUGAUGUGAAAGCCCACGGCUCAACCGUGGAGGGUCAUUGGAAACUGGAGGACUUGAGUACAGAAGAGGAAAGCGGAAUUCCACGUGUAGCGGUGAAAUGCGUAGAGAUGUGGAGGAACACCAGUGGCGAAGGCGGCUUUCUGGUCUGUAACUGACGCUGAGGCGCGAAAGCGUGGGGAGCAAACAGGAUUAGAUACCCUGGUAGUCCACGCCGUAAACGAUGAGUGCUAAGUGUUAGGGGGGUUUCCGCCCCCCUUAGUGCUGCAGCUAACGCAUUAAGCACUCCGCCUGGGAGUACGGCCGCAAGGCUG
rnacentral:rRNA from 1 species